GUAAUGUUGUUACACUAGAUUAUUUAAAUUAUUAUUAAUUAAUUGUACUAACACAAGGCUUUUAUUUUGAUGUUCGUGUUAGAAGAGAUGGCACGGUGAUGAAUGGUCACGUGACCACUAGAAAAAUAUUAUUUUUAUUUCUUUUUCUACAAACAUUAUUUCUUUAUUGGUUUUGUUUUCUCUCCUUUUUGAAACUGUUCACCUUUUUAAAAAUGUUUAUUAAGAAUUGUAUAAUGGUCAUGUGCAAGCGUGAGGGUGGAGCUGACGUAAUUUCCGGUGUGCGCUCUCUUUCGCGGGAUUUCAAUGCGAUGAGAGGUAUGUUUUAUCAGCUCCCCAAGAAAGUGUUUAAAAGUAGUUAAUUAUUUACUGUUUAUGUACGUUCUGUACAAAAUGUGAUUGUUUAGUACUUUAAACAAUUUAGUAAUUUUUUGUGAAGACAUUAUUAAUCUGAGUUAUGCACAUUGUAAAAAUAUGUUUAAUGUAAAGUGCGAAUUCACGUAAUGGCUGCCAUGACACGUGCAGUGGGCUGCUGAAACUUUGUUGUAUAACGUUGUAUUUAUUCUUAAUGAUCCAAGAGAUUUACACAUAUAUAAAUAUACCUGUAAUGAUUGACAGGCACUUCUCGAUCAGACGUAAUCCUGUUACUGCCUGAUGCUAUCUGUUGUGUGUAACACAGAGGAGAGAUCCCGAGAGGCCAAAAGUAAACCAUUUGACAACUGCA